AUCUUUCUUUACAAGGCAUGAGUUCGGCCCAACUAGCCUUUUUUUGCUUUUUUCCAAGGAUUCUGGUUCCACAUUCUAGCCACAACCUUUUCUAGUUUUCUUGUUCUUCUUAGUCCUUAUGGUUCCGAUUCCAGCAAGGAAGCAAACAAUAGUCAACGUCUCGAUGAUUCCAGGCUUUCUGUCAUCCAGCGUCUAGAAGGCAACAAAUGCCGGUGGUUCUGACAAAUGACAGUGAAUCACGAUUCAAUUUUUAGGUUCAAGUUCAAGUGGUCAAGAAAAUGAAAAAGGGUGUAAAGUUUUGUUAUUGUUGGCACUUGGCAAUGGUCUCAUGGAAGAAAUUACAUUGUUGCUCAUUGUUGCUAUUUGUAGUAUUAUUAUUUGUUAUUGUUGGUGGAAAAUUUGAUAUGUUUGCACCAUUGCUCUUGAGUUUUGUUAUUGUCAAAAUAUUAAUGUUUUGUAGUUCUUUGUAUUAAUGUUGACUGUUGAGGAAAGAACUAGGGGUGAAAUUUGUGUCAUUUUUCUGCUAAUGAUAUGUGUUGCUUUUCUGAAAAAUUAAGGUGCAUUGCUGGUGUAAUGAGUGAAGAACUCAUAAAUGCACGUGGUGCAUUGUUGUUACUUGUUAGAUUGUCACAAUGUGUAUUUUCUGUUGCUAUUGAUAUGAUUGACUGCAUUAUUGUGUUGUGUAAUGGCAUGGUCAAUUGUGUUUGCCUAUUAGUAGUAAUAAAUUUUAUUAUUUAGUAGUAUAA